AUGACUUCCUGUGCUGUGUGUCCGCGGGCCUCUUCCACCACAGAAACUGCGCGCUGGCCUUGGGACCCUGAGCUACGGAGUCUGGACACCUUUGGGGCUGCUCUCCACCUGCCACGGGGUGCUCCGCUAGGGAGAAGGAGCUGUGAGCUGCUGCUGACCUGCUCAAGAGGCCCAGCCCGCCAGCCUCCUACCCCUGCAGCAGGAAGGUGGGAGGCGGCACAGGACCAGGUUGCACAAACCCAUGACCGGUGGGUGCAGUGACGGGGAAGCGGGGCCCUGAGGCUUCUCCAAGGAGCUGCACAGGGCGGGGCACACGCAGCGCUGUGGUCUUCCGUGUUUAGAGAUCGAUCAGCCACCACUACCGAGGGUGCGGGCGGGAGGACGGAGCGGGAAGAGGAGGGAGAAGGAGAGAGGGGGCGGCG
rnacentral:lncRNA from 1 species